rnacentral:rRNA from 1 species
AUUGAACGCUGGCGGCAGGCCUAACACAUGCAAGUCGAGCGGAUGAAGGGAGCUUGCUCCUGGAUUCAGCGGCGGACGGGUGAGUAAUGCCUAGGAAUCUGCCUGGUAGUGGGGGAUAACGUCCGGAAACGGGCGCUAAUACCGCAUACGUCCUGAGGGAGAAAGUGGGGGAUCUUCGGACCUCACGCUAUCAGAUGAGCCUAGGUCGGAUUAGCUAGUUGGUGGGGUAAAGGCCUACCAAGGCGACGAUCCGUAACUGGUCUGAGAGGAUGAUCAGUCACACUGGAACUGAGACACGGUCCAGACUACUACGGGAGGCAGCAGUGGGGAAUAUUGGACAAUGGGCGAAAGCCUGAUCCAGCCAUGCCGCGUGUGUGAAGAAGGUCUUCGGAUUGUAAAGCACGUUAAGUUGGGAGGAAGGGCAGUAAGUUAAUACCUUGCUGUUUUGACGUUACCAACAGAAUAAGCACCGGCUAACUUCGUG